GUGCUCGCUUCGGCAGCGCAUAUACUCUGAAGGAUACAGAGAAGGUUAGCAUGACCCCUGCGCAAGGAUGACAUGCAAAUUCGUGAAGUGUUCCAUAUUUUU